rnacentral:lncRNA from 1 species
UGCUUUUGCCAUAUUAUGAUCAAUGCUCCAAACAUUCUCUUUCUGUCCCUUCACUGUCACCUUCCCUUUUGGGCUCGUCUUGUUCUGGCUAUUGCCAGGUUUGUUCUGGCUAUUGCCAGGUCUGUUCUGGCUUUGGGUUAUGAGUCUUAUUUUAGAGAUCUUUGGUUCAGGAAAUUUCGAAGAGAUAGACAGGGAGGAGAAGAAGUUUUGAGAAUUUGGUUGGUGAAAGUGAAAACCUAGACAAUAAUUCUUGCAGAGGUGGAGACGUGGUGAUUGCAUCUUCUUAGGAGACGAUGAUUUCUACUUU